UAGGGUAACCUGCCUUAUAGUGGGGGAGUAGCCUUUCGAAAGGAAGAUUAAUACCGCAUAAGAUUGUAGUAUCGCAUGAUAUAGCAAUUAAAGGAGCAAUCCGCUAUAAGAUGGACCCGCGUCGCAUUAGCUAGUUGGUGAGGUGAUGGCUCACCAAGGCGACGAUGCGUAGCCGACCUGAGAGGGUGAUCGGCCACAUUGGGACUGAGACACGGCCCAGACUCCUACGGGAGGCAGCAUG
rnacentral:rRNA from 1 species